GGUUGUUCUCUUUUUAUUGUUAUUCAAAAUGUAAUAUUUACAAGUUCUUUUCAAUAAAUUGUUCAUUAAUUAUACAAGAGACUCCUUUUUAAUUAAAAAUUCAAUUCCCAUGGGAAUUGAAAAAAAAAAUAAAAAAAAUCCCUCUACCCCGGCCGGCUCCCCAAGUGCUAGCUCUACUUCAAGCAGAAGUACUUCUACUUAAAGUAGAGCUAGCACUCGGAGAGCCAGCCGGGGUAGCGGGGCGAAGAGAAGACCAACCUUGCAAAUGCAAAUUGCUAAGUCGAUCUUCUCUUGAGAGCAGCCACGCGCAUACCUAUAGCAAAUUAAAACAACAAGCAUUAGUAACAAAUACUCGACAUGCAAAUUUUGAAUCCCAUGGCCGAAAUGACAAGUGCCCCCCACUGAUUCCUACCAACUACCUCAAUCCUAAGCUGUCUGCCUCGGUCCUAAGCUACCUGCAUUCCAUUCGUAACUUCCGCUUUCCUCACCAUCACACAGACACUCGCAACUGCCCAACCUGCCACCACCCGAACUACCCACCCUUCAAAAACUG